GUAGCGCAAUGGGUAGCGCGUUGGAUUUCUAAUCGAAAGGUCGUGAGGUUGAAUCCCACAAAGCU